AACGAACGCUGGCGGCAUGCCUAACACAUGCAAGUCGAACGAGACCUUCGGGUCUAGUGGCGCACGGGUGCGUAACGCGUGGGAACCUGCCCUUAGGUUCGGACUAACUCCCCGAAAGGGGUGCUAAUGCCGGAUAAUGUCUUCGGACCAAAGAUUUAUCGCCUUUGGAUGGGCCCGCGUUGCAUUAGCUAGUUGGUAGGGUAAAAGCCUACCAAGGCGACGAUCCAUAGCUGGUCUGUGAGGAUGGUCCGCCACACUGGGACGAGGACACGGCCCAGACUCCUGCGGGAGGCAGGAGUGGGGAAUACUGGAAAAUGGGCGAAAGCAUGAACCAGCAAGGCCGCGUGAGUGAUGAAGGCCGGAGGGUAGUAAAGCUCUUUUACCCGGGAGGAGAAUGACGGUACCGGGAGAAUAAGCACCGGCUAACUCCGUG
rnacentral:rRNA from 1 species